rnacentral:rRNA from 1 species
AUGCAAGUCGAGCGGGCGUAGCAAUACGUCAGCGGCAGACGGGUGAGUAAGGGGGAACGUACCUUUUGGUUCGGAACAACACAGGGAAACUUGUGCUAAUACCGGAUAAGCCCUUACGGGGAAAGAUUUAUCGCCGAAAGAUCGGCCCGCGUCUGAUUAGCUAGUUGGUGAGGUAAUGGCUCACCAAGGCGACGAUCAGUAGCUGGUCUGAGAGGAUGAUCAGCCACAUUGGGACUGAGACACGGCCCAAACUCCUACGGGAGGCAGCAGUGGGGAAUAUUGGACAAUGGGCGCAAGCCUGAUCCAGCCAUGCCGCGUGAGUGAUGAAGGCCCUAGGGUUGUAAAGCUCUUUUGUGCGGGAAGAUAAUGACGGUACCGCAAGAAUAAGCCCCGGCUAACUUCGUGCCAGCAGCCGCGGUAAUACGAAGGGGGCUAGCGUUGCUCGGAAUCACUGGGCGUAAAGGGUGCGUAGGCGGGUCUUUAAGUCAGGGGUGAAAUCCUGGAGCUCAACUCCAGAACUGCCUUUGAUACUGAAGAUCUUGAGUUCGGGAGAGGUGAGUGGAACUGCGAGUGUAGAGGUGAAAUUCGUAGAUAUUCGCAAGAACACCAGUGGCGAAG